GAUGAAGAACGUAGCGAAAUGCGAUAAGUAAUGUGAAUUGCAGAUUUCAGUGAAUCAUCGAAUCUUUGAACGCACCUUGCGCCUUGUGGUAUUCCACAAGGCAUGCCCGUUUGAGUAUCAUUAAAUCAUCAACUCUAAAACCUUUGUGGUUUUUUUUAGAGCUUGGUCUUGAGGGUUUUGCAGGCUUUUUUUUUUUUUCGAGUCUGCUCCCUUUAAAUGCAUUAGCGCGACUUCCCUAUGCUGAACCGUCUCUUUGACGUGAUAAUUAUCUGCGUCGAAUUUUGGUUCUCGUUGGGCUUGCUUCUAAUCGUCUGUUAAAGACAAAACGGAUUUGGGUGCAUAUAUGCGCCUUUUUCCAAAACCUUUUUUUGAUCUCAAAUCGGGUAGGACUACCCGCUGAACUUAAGCAUAUCAAUAAGCGGAGGA
rnacentral:misc_RNA from 1 species